rnacentral:rRNA from 1 species
CCUACGGGUGGCAGCAGUGAGGAAUAUUGGUCAAUGGACGAAAGUCUGAUCCAGCCAAGCAGCGUGAAUGAUGACUGCCCUAUGGGUUGUAAACUUCUUUUAUAUGGGAAUAAAAUGUUCCACGUGUGGGAUUUUGUAUGUACCAUAUGAAUAAGGAUCGGCUAACUCCGUGCCAGCAGCCGCGGUAAUACGGAGGGUCCGAGCGUUAUCCGGAUUUAUUGGGUUUAAAGGGAGCGUAGGUGGAUUGUGAAGUCAGUUGUGAAAGUUUGGGGCUCAACCGUGAAAUUGCAGUUGAAACUGUGAGUCUGGAGUACAGUAGAGGUGAGCGGAAUUCGUGGUGUAGCGGUGAAAUGCUUAGAUAUCACGAAGAACUCCGAUUGCGAAGGCAGUUCACUGGACUGCAACUGACACUGAGGCUCGAAAGUGUGGGUAGCAAACAGGAUUAGAUACCCUUGUAGUC